CCCAUUGUGGAGCCUGAGAUCCUUGUUGAUGGACCUCAUGACAUUGACCGCUGUGCUUACGUCACCGAGAUCGUCCUUGCUGCCUGCUACAAGGCCCUCAACGACCAGCAUGUCCUCCUCGAGGGCACUCUCCUGAAGCCCAACAUGGUCACCCCUGGUUCUGACUCCAAGAAGGUGGCCCCUGAGGUGAUUGCUGAGUACACCGUCCGCACCCUCCAGAGGACCGUCCCUGCUGCCGUCCCCGCCAUUGUCUUCCUCUCUGGUGGACAGAGCGAGGAGGAGGCGACCCUGAACCUGAACGCCAUGAACAAGCUCCAGACCAAGAAGCCCUGGAACCUGUCCUUCUCCUUCGGGCGUGCCCUCCAGCAGAGCACCCUCAAGGCCUGGUCCGGCAAGACGGAGAACGAGGAGAAGGCCAGGGCGGCGUUCCUGGUGAGGUGCAAGGCCAACUCCGAGGCCACCCUCGGCACCUACAAGGGCGACGCCACCCUCGCUGAGGGCGCCUCCGAGAGCCUCCACGUCAAGGACUACAAGUACUGAUUGAUCUGCCUUCGGUGCUGUGGCCCGUUUGGGCGUCCCGCUUACCAGUAUCAUUGUCAUUGUUUGGUUUCCUGAGUCCUGAUAUAUCCUCGGAUAUCGAACAUCGUUUUUAAUAAUAUGGAACUUGUGUUUUCAUAAUACCGUAGUAGUUUCUUUUUGGAGUUGAAGUACCCUGAAAAUCGGGUGCUGCGUAUCGUAAAUUGGAGCAGGUUUUUGUUCCAUGGUCCUGUAAUUUACCUGCUCAUACAAUGUUAAAACCUGUCAUAUGCUGAGUACACAUGUGUUCCGUCACUUUUUUCUUGCUUGGCUAUCGUUAAGUUUCAUUCAUGAAACGUGAUUGCGCUGAGGCGUCUGGAUUUUCCUUCGUCAGUUUGAUGCACGACUUUCAAGAUUUUGAUAAUGAAGGCAAAAAUACUGCCACUUCCUUCCUUGAUGUCAUGUACUCCCUCAGUUCCUAAAUGCAGUAUAAGUCUAGACAUUCCACUUAUAUUUAGGAACAGAUUUGAAGGCACAUAGCAGCAGAUUCCAAUCGACGUCCUCAUCCAGCAAAUCCAUCGACCAGUUCCUGAAAGAUCUCAAACCUGUAAAUUACACAUCUACAGGUUUGACAGUGCCAUUGAAGUAAUAAACGCAAUUCAAAUCUAUGUACAUGAACCACCUGCCUUUUGGAUAGUAAGCUGUAAGCCCUUGGGCACAAGACACUGUAUUCCAUCGCCCCGCAGCUUUGUACCAAAGACAAAUUAGAGACGAAUGGAAAGUUGCUCAAUAACACUAAAUUAAAGGCUAGCAGAUGAUACAAGACCCCAUGUAAGAAUAUUUUGUCAGUACAUAACUCAAACACGAACAUCUUACUGAAAGCACAAGUUCUUCGAAUCAUCUUGCUCAAUGACUUAUAAUAGAAUUGGGACAGGGACACCACCAAUAGUCCAAUACUAAUGCAAACAAAGAUCUCUUUCUCUAUCCUAACAACACCACGAGAGGAAACGCCUUCAUCCGAUCAUCUAAAAAACAGAGCACCCGAGCCUAUAACAUAGGAAUCACAUGCAUGAAAGGAAAAGACUGAACCAAUCAACCCCCAAACAAAAUAGUAAGCUCACCACAAUCAUAUACUAGUAUAUACAUGUACCUUUUCAUCCGCAAGGGAACAUAAACCUACCUACGAAUUCCUCCUAAAACCAUCUUGAUCCAACUAAAAAAUUUCACAGGAGAAAACUUCAAACCGGUAUGACCUUUCCAGAAAGAAAAAUAAAUACUCAAUAAGCAAGAUGGAUGUUUUGCACAAAAACAACAAUAGAACAAAAAAGUACUCCCUCCGUCCUAAAAUAAGUGUCUCAACUACAACGGAGGGAGUAACUGAAUGACUUUAGAUCACAGGACUAUGCUUUUACGCCAUGAACAAAUAGGAGAAAAGGAUGAAUAGGCUAAUAAAUAUACACACCUUUGCAUCAACACUAUGUCUGGUUGAGAUAACAUUCAAAGACAACAACAGUGGCAUAAAAAGCCCAACUUCACACUCAUAAAUUAUUAGAUCCAGUUAGGGCACACAAUGUUUUUGAAAUGAGCACCUCUCAACCCCAACCUAGCGGCUGCACCGCAGCGGCGGCAGCCACUGCGGCCCCGUCGCACACCACCCCACCGGCCACCUGAUGGUGUCCUGGACUAGGGGGUGCUUGACACGUCUACUCCCGACCAUAUGGGAUGGCGUUCCUGGUGAGGUGCAAGGCCAACUCUGAGGCCACCCUCGGCACCUACAAGGGCGACGCCACCCUCGGCGAGGGCGCCUCCGAGAGCCUCCACGUCAAGGACUACAAGUACUGAUCUAUCUGCCUUCGGUGCUGUGGCCCGUUUUGGCAUCCCACUUUUCAUUGUUUGGUUUUCGGAUAUCGAACAUCGUUUUUAAUAAUAUGGAACUUGUGUUUUCAUAAUACCGUAGUAGCUUAUUUUUGGAGUUGAAUUACCCUGUAAAUUGGGUACUACGUAUCGUAAAUUGGAGCAGGUUUUUGUUCCAUGGUCCUGUAAUUUACCUGCUCAUACAAUGGUAAAACCUGUUAUAUGCUGAGUACACAUCUGUUCCAUCGUUUUUUCUGAUUUUAAAGGCGCCUGAACUAUUUUGGGCGUCACUCCUUCCGCUUCGCGCGAGUGGAGCGCUGGCAAGCCGUGAGCGGAAUCAAUCCUAAC
rnacentral:lncRNA from 1 species